CUGGAAUACGCUGGCUGUAACUUACAGCCACUGGCGGAGGUUGACGUGGUGCGAGGAGAGCCACUUAAUCAAUCAACCUAGGGGUUCAACGUAAUUUCACAGUUGACGGUGCCGUUAGGGUGAAAAUGUUUUACAGCCCUCCUCGUCAUCCACCCCAAUCGAAUUGGAGUUCAUUCCAUCCUUUCCUCGAGGGGUUUCUCAGACCCAAAAUCACUUCUCUCUCCUGUCGCCACUGGACUUGAUAACCAAGGUCCCCAAAGCUGAAAAUUCAGCUUUAUCAUUGAGGUAGAAACGAGGGAGUAAUCCUAUUCUCGCCUCGGCCGAAAAACCAAGCUUGGAUUCACAAAAACACAAGAUUGGGAGGUCAUCAACCAAGCCUGGAGCUGAUUCCAAGCAGAAAUCUGUUCACACUGUCACAAAAACUGAGGCUUUGUACGUAGGAAGUGCAAUGAAACAUUCAGAAGACUGGAGGGGAAAGAUCAGAAAUGCUCAAGCUUCAAUCAAAUGUUGUACGAGCACUUAAAUGCAGCUCAAGACGUAAUUUCUACUUUCUGAAUUUAUAUGAAACAAUCAAAACCCUAGUAUUUUUUCCAGAAAGUGUAGAAUCAAAUGACAUUAACUUUGAAGCAUGGAUGGUGAAAUGAAAGGCAUAAUCUAUCACAACAGCAAACAUGGUAAUCAGACUACAGUUAAAAACUGUAGUUUGAUUCAUUUGUUGGCCUAGUGCGAUCACGUUUCCGAAUUUGUUAUGUGUUUGACUCUAAACAAAAACCCCAAACUCCAAAUUUCUGUUAUGCUUAGUUGUAUUAUUGUUGUUCCUACUCUGAUUGUAAAGAAUUGCCCUUGGGCUUCACAUAUGAUAGUUGCCAUAAUUCUGUCUUAA